GUGCUCGCUUCAGCAGCACCUAUGCUAAAAUUGUGAUGAUACACAGAAGGCUGUCGUGGCUGCUGAGCAAGGAUGACAUGCCAAGGUGUGCAGCAUUCCGUAUUGUU
ensembl:snRNA U6 U6 spliceosomal RNA